CGAGUGAAUCGGACGACUCUCGCGCGCGAUUCCCGAUUCCUCCGGUCCGGUCGUGGUGUGCGUGAAACGCAUUGUAUCGCGAUUAUCUCGAGUGGAGCGGCGUCUUGUGUAGUCUCCAUAGGAUAACUUCCAUUCUGCCAUUUUAUUAGUUUUAAUGAGAAACUGUCAGUUUUUUCUCUGGGGCAUCUCGACGUAUCGACAUCUGUCGGUAUAACUAAUCGGGGAUUUUUUCUUCUGCUUCAAGUGCGCCAGACAGGUUGCAAGCACACGGUGGACCUGAUGAAUCCUCGAGGAUGCGGAUUCGGUGAAUGCCGAACCGGAGGAUCCGGUUCGGGCUGAGCAGGGUCGGUUCGAAGAUUGUAGCAGAACGUGACCGAUCUUGAGUCUUCGGUACUUCGGCAGAACUGGAGAAGCAUCUGUGUUGGACUUGCCGCUCCAGACGAAACGGGCACAAAUCUUCGGCCGCGGAUGUCUUAUCGCCGGCAGGUCGAUAGUUGUCAAAAGUUCUCGACCAGCCUCAUCGCCUCCAGCCUGUGUUUCCUCCCAUGAUUGUUGAAUAAUUCAGCAAGCGGAGAUGUAUCGAAGAAGAAAGCGACGUCCUGGCAGCUCGACGUUUCAUACGCGUCGGCGAAGGGAGUCAUCCGCUCGCCGUGCAACGCCCGCGCGAU